AGACAUCUGUUCCUCUGACAAGGCUUAUUUUGCUACGUCAGAUUUCAGAACGUCUUAGAAUAAAACUGGAUUGCUUCACCCAGAACUGUAUCUUGCAAUUACAUUGUCUGGCUUUUGCGGAUUCAUACAAUA
rfam:Atta cephalotes unplaced genomic scaffold scaffold00046, whole genome shotgun sequence.